GCUGGGUGUGGUGGGGGGCACCUGUAAUCCCAGAUACUCAGGAGGCUGAGGCAGGAGAAUCGCUUGAAUCCAGGAGGCGGAGGUUGCAGUGAGCCAAGAUCUGGCCACUGCACUCUAGUCUGGGUGACAAAGCGAGACUCCGUCUCAA
rnacentral:sRNA from 1 species